rnacentral:rRNA from 1 species
UACGGAGGGGACUAGCGUUGUUCGGAAUUACUGGGCGUAAAGCGCACGUAGGCGGAUUUGUAAGUCAGGGGUGAAAUCCCGGGGCUCAACCUCGGAACUGCCUUUGAUACUGCAAACCUCGAGUCCGGAAGAGGUGAGUGGAAUUCCUAGUGUAGAGGUGAAAUUCGUAGAUAUUAGGAAGAACACCAGUGGCGAAGGCGGCUCACUGGUCCGGUACUGACGCUGAGGUGCGAAAGCGUGGGGAGCGAACGGG